UAUAUUUUAGUGUAUGAUGCACAAGAAGUUUUGAUCUUCUAAGAUUUAGUUUGAUUCUAAAAAAUAUAA
rnacentral:tRNA from 1 species